ACGCUGGCGGCGUGCCUAACACAUGCAAGUCGAGCGGGGAACUAACGAUGAAGUUUUCGGAUGGAUUUGUUAGUUCAGCGGCGGACGGUGAGUAACGCGUGAGCAACCUGCCUAUCACUGGGGAAUAACGCAGCGAAAGUUGUGCUAAUACCGCAUGAGACCACAAGAUCGCAUGGUCAAGGGGUCAAAGAUUUAUCGGUGAUAGAUGGGCUCGCGUCUGAUUAGCUAGUUUGGGUGAGGUUAAACGGGCCCACCAAGGCGACGAUCAGUAGCCGACCUGAGAGGGUGAUCGGCCACAUUGGAACUGAGAAACGGUCCAAACUCCUACGGGAGGCAGCAGUGGGGAAUAUUGGGCAAUGGGCGCAAGCCUGACCCAGCAACGCCGCGUGAAGGAAGAAGGCCCUCGGGUUGUAAACUUCUUUUACCAGGGACGAAGAAAGUGACGGUACCUGGAGAAAAAGCAACGGCUAACUACGUG
rnacentral:rRNA from 1 species